GACGAACCGUCCAAACGUUAUUCGGAAUCACUGGGCUUACAGAGUUCGUAGGCGGUCUGGAAAGUUGGGUGUGAAAUCCCUCGGCUCAACCGAGGAACUGCGCUCAAAACUGCCAGACUCGAGGGAGAUAGAGGAAAGCGGAACUGAUGGUGGAGCGGUGAAAUGCGUUGAUAUCAUCAGGAACACCGGAGGCGAAGGCGGCUCACUGGGUCUUUUCUGACGCUGAGGGACGAAAGCUAGGGGAGCGAACGGG
rnacentral:rRNA from 1 species